rnacentral:rRNA from 1 species
AGGACGACGCUGGCGGCACGCUUAACACAUGCAAGUCGAACGGUGAAGAGAAGCUUGCUUCUUGGAUCAGUGGCGGACGGGUGAGUAACACGUGAGCAACCUGCCUUUAAGAGGGGGAUAACGUCCGGAAACGGACGCUAAUACCGCAUAAUAUAUGGGAUUCGCAUGUUUUCCAUAUCAAAGAUUUAUCGCUUAAAGAUGGGCUCGCGUCUGAUUAGCUAGUUGGUGAGGUAACGGCUCACCAAGCCGACGAUCAGUAGCCGGACUGAGAGGUUGAACGGCCACAUUGGAACUGAGAAACGGUCCAGACUCCUACGGGAGGCAGCAGUGGGGAAUAUUGGGCAAUGGGCGAAAGCCUGACCCAGCGACGCCGCGUGAGGGAAGAAGGUCUUCGGAUUGUAAACCUCUGUUGACAGGGACGAAGCAUGACGGUACCUGUCGAGGAAGCCACGGCUAACUACGUG